ensembl:lncRNA novel transcript
AGGCAAUGAUAGUAGGAAAUGCUAAAGAUACAGCUCAUACAAAAGCAGAAUGGAAUAUUCUGGAAGAAGUAAAGCAUCCCUUCAUCGUGGAUUUAAUUUAUGCUUUUCAGACUGGUGGAAAACUCUACCUCAUCCUUGAGUAUCUCAGUGGAGAACUAUUUAUGCAGUUAGAAAGAGAGGGAAUAUUUAUGGAAGACACUGCGUGGCCUUUUCUAACACGGAAGCUGCAUUUAAGAGCCUUAGGGAUGAAGUGCCCUUUUGUGGAGGAGGCUCACUGAGCAGUGUUGGAGGCUGUGUUUGUGGUCGUGCUGGCUGUGAAACUGCCUCAGUCCUUCCUCUAGGACACACCCUCUCCAUCCUGGAAUAAUCUGCAGGAUUGCAACAUUGUUAAGCAGCCAGUAUUGCGGUGCCUUGUGCUUUUCACAUCCAGACAGGGUUGAUUCAGCCCUUUAUUCUUUUGAGCUUUUACUUGGCAGAAAUCUCCAUGGCUUUGGGGCAUUUACAUCAAAAGGGGAUCAUCUACAGAGACUUGAAGCUGGAGAAUAUCAUGCUUAAUCACCAAGGUCAUGUGAAACUAACAGACUUUGGACUAUGCAAAGAAUCAUUCAUGACGGAACAGUCACACACACAUUUUGUGGAACAAUAGAAUACAUGUGAGCUGCAUGUUAAACAUAAUUGGUUUGGAGCCUCCAUUUACUGGGGAGAAUAGAAAGAAAA